UACGAAGGGAGCUAGCGUUGUUCGGAAUCACUGGGCGUAAAGCGCCCGUAGGCGGAUGUGUCAGUCAGGGGUGAAAUCCCGGAGCUCAACUUCGGAACUGCCUUUGAUACAGCACAUCUGGAGUCCGGAAGAGGUGGGUGGAAUUCCUAGUGUAGAGGUGAAAUUCGUAGAUAUUAGGAAGAACACCGGUGGCGAAGGCGGCCCACUGGUCCGGUACUGACGCUGAGGUGCGAAAGCGUGGGGAGCAAACAGG
rnacentral:rRNA from 1 species